GGUACCGUAGCUCAGUUGGUUAGAGCGCGAGACUCAUAAGCUCGAGGUCACAAGUUCAAUUCUUGUCGGUGCUACCA
rnacentral:tRNA from 1 species